UACAGAGGUCUCAAGCGUUGUUCGGAAUUACUGGGCGUAAAGGGUGCGCAGGCCGCGCGGGCAGUCAAAUGUGUAAUCCAGGGGCUCAACCCCUGAACUGCGCUUGAUACUUCCGCGCUCGAGCUUUGGAGAGGAGUCUGGAAUUCUCGGUGUAGCAGUGAAAUGCGUGGAUAUCGAGAAGAACACUUAGGGCGUAGGCAAGACUCUGGACAAAUGCUGACGCUCAUGCACGAAGGCUAGGGGUAGCGAACGGG
rnacentral:rRNA from 1 species